ACGCUAUAAAUAUGCUCACCUCAAUCUCAACAAAACUAAAUCAGAACAAGCUAGCUGGAAACAAUACUUAAAGGUGACAAGGAGAAGAAAUGACAUCUAUCUGUCAAGGUAAGAGUUCAUGGCCGGAGCUUCUUGGAGUAGACGGGAAGUGCGCUGUCGAAACGAUCGAGAGAGAGAACUCUCUGGUUGAAGCUAUAAUUGCGCCAGAAGGAUCAUCAAUCAUCGAGAAUUUUCGGUGCGAUAGGGUUUGGGUUUGGGUUGAUAAACAUGGCAUUGUUUAUCUAGUCCCUGUAAUUGGUUAAGAUCCAAAAACUGCGAUAUAUUCUCGUGAUAAUUGUUUAAGGAAUGCUGUGGAACUGUGGACUGUACCUAGAAUAAAAGAAUAAAAUGGAGUAAGGAGCCAUGAUCCAAUCUCCAUGCGUGUAUUGCAAUCUUCAUAAAAGUUGUAUUUCUCAAUGCAUUUUCAUA